CAGUCCAAAACCUAGAAACAAUUGUCGUCUUGCAAGCCGAGAAAUUUUAGGUUUCAUUCUCUUACGACGAUGAUAUUCUUUAAAACCAACAAUGGAGUUUCGACAGAUCGAGUGUCUCAAAUCAGCGUGAACGAUCUCUUUCUGGCUUUUCAAUCGUCUUCAAUCGCUUCCUUUAGUCUUCUGUGCUGAUUAACCGAAACGUUUUGAGCAGACUCAUUCCCUUUAUCUCCUUCUUAACUCCAUCAACCACAAACCGACAUUCAAUGGAUCUUUCUCUUCUGUAAAGCGGUGUGUAUCUACACCUAUAAAAAGGUUCUCUGAGAGCUUCGAGAGAUUGAGUUGAGCUGAUGGACCAAGUAACAGUCAGAUCAAGAUGGACAAGGGAAUUGCUACAAUUCAAGCUAUCACAUGGGAGGUCGGACAGGGUGAGUUUAUAAGAACUGCAAUCCUUUUUGUAUGAAAAGGGGAAUGAAUGAUUGUUUGUUUGCAGAAAAACAGGUUCGUGCUUUGGAUUUUUUUUUAAAUGGAGGGAUAGAAGUUGCGAUGGAGGAGUCUGUCAUGAAUGCAUAGCUUCUCAUGAGGAUGUUGCUCAAAUUCGAUGUCAUCAAAGGAGAAGGGAAAGCUAGAGUACAACGAUAACACAGAGUUCAAUGUUUCAUCUACUGCAUUCUUCAUCUGUCUGCAUCACCUAUGUUUACCCAAUCAAAAUGUCAACAACAGUGGUGAACGAUAUGCAUCAGGUGACGAGAUAGCCGGGGCUGGGAUUGGAUGAGCUUGAGCAGCUAGACCGUCCAGGAUAUAUAUCACAGGCAAAUAAGAUACACAAAGGUAUACACAAUCUCAAGAAAUCACAAGCUUAUAUUUGAUUCUUUGGUCCAAAGAGAAUUUAGAACAGUACCAAAUCUGAGAUUUGUUUUCUUAUUGCCAGUCCCGGUCUGAUGCUUGAUCAACUAUCUGACCCAAAACAAAGGUACAUGGAGAGCCUCACAGUGUUCAGUAAUCUCAAUACAACACUCUCAUAUUGAUUAAUUUACAGGAGGUGAUGUUAUUGGAAACCAACAGAGAUCUUAAGAGAAAGGUAGUGCCAUCAAAAUCUUAUAGCCCAAGAAAUUGAAUUCAUUUGAGAUCUUUCACAACAUUGUUGUCUUUCUCUCUUUAUCUAUUUCUGUUGGAGGAAAGUGAAGCCGCCCUUAAUCAAUCAUUAUGAGGAGCUUCUUCUUCUGCAGAACAUUCCCAACAAUAGCAACAACAAGGCAUGAGCUCUUAUCAAGCAAACUUUUCGAAGCAAGAAUUGGUUUUCUUCAGGCCUUUACAAGGAAUGUAGCAUUGCAGAUGAGGUAUUCAUCAUAGGGAAACAGUUAAGACCCAAUGAAUUGACCUUUUAUGGUCAGCUAGAUUUAUAAUUGAGUUUUGUUUGUUUUUAUGGAACGAUUAUUAUUACAAUCGUUCAGUAUAUAUUUGCAGGUUCUGUACCAGUGGUUAUAUGUAAUUGACUACUUAUACCUGAGAGGUUUACAUGGUGUUA